CCUACGGGAGGCAGCAGUGAGGAAUUUUCCGCAAUGGGCGAAAGCCUGACGGAGCAAUACCGCGUGAGGGAUGAAGGAUUUUGGUCUGUAAACCUCUUUUCUCAAGAAAGAAGUUCUGACGGUACUUGAGGAAUAAGCAUCGGCUAACUCCGUGCCAGCAGCCGCGGUAAUACGGGGGAUGCAAGCGUUAUCCGGAAUGAUUGGGCGUAAAGCGCCUGUAGGUUGUUUAUUAAGUCCGUUGUUAAAGCCUAGGGCUCAACCCUAGAAAAGCAAUGGAAACUAGUAGACUAGAGUAUGGCAGGGGUAGAGGGAAUUUCUAGUGUAGCGGUGAAAUGCGUAGAUAUUAGAAAGAACACCGGUGGCGAAAGCGCUCUACUGGACCAUUACUGACACUCAGAGGCGAAAGCUAGGGUAGCAAAAGGGAUUAGAUACCCCUGUAGUCCUAGCCGUAAACGAUGGAUACUAGAUGUUGUGCAUUAUGUACAGUAUCGUAGCUAACGCGUUAAGUAUCCCGCCUGGGGAGUACGCUCGCAAGGGGUGAAACUCAAAAGGAAUUUGACGG
rnacentral:rRNA from 1 species